rnacentral:lncRNA from 1 species
CACUGCUCUUCCUGCUCCCACUGCUGCUGCUGCUGCCUGCUUUGCUGCUGCCACUUACUGCUGCCAAUUCAGCUUGCAUGUUCCCCACCCAGCCUGUAGCCUGCAUUUGCCCAGGACCAGACCCCUUUCUGUGAGCCUACGCUGCAUCUUUUCAUCACACAAGCUGGGAGUUCUUAAGUGCCUGGAGGAAAAUCGAUGGUUCAACCGUACGUCCAAAGGGCCGUCGAUUUAGACACAGCCCUGGAGUCCAGCCCCCUCCUUGCAUCAACGAGAAAACUGAGGAUUGGAAAAAUCGUGGCUUGUCUGAGGCUACAACAUUAAUGGCAUUGGAUGUGAAUGCAAAUCCUUUGACUCCAAGAGACUGGUAUCCAUACAGGAAGGCCCAAAAUAGAUUGGGUGGAACUUUUAUGGAAGCAAUUACACCAGGCCAUGAAUAAGAAUCACACAGCAUCAGCAAAAAGCAAAAGGUUAACAUUUGAAUCUUAGAGGAAGUAACAAAAUAUUGAAAUAAGUUUCUUCUUAUAAUUUAGACAUAAGGAGAUUAAAGAAAGGUGUAUAUAAGAAGAAAG